rnacentral:lncRNA from 1 species
CAAAAUCAAGGCAGUUAGAGAGGAAAUUCAAGGAGCGAACGAACCGGAUUUGAAGCUACAAAGACGGCGCUUCGGCGUGAUUAAGUUGGUUUUUACAAGCAAUGCAUCAAGGCGAGUAAGACGAGGUAAAUAUUUUCAAGAAAAAGAGAAAGAAAAAUGGAAUACUUGAUUGGAUGCUAUGUUUUUAAUUCUCGAUUCUCUCUCCUUCUUCUAUUUUUUUUGGAUGCUGUGUUUUGAGUCUGAGCUCAUUUAGGUUAGAG